rnacentral:lncRNA from 10 species
UGAAAAGACUACAGCAACAAUAACAAAAUAAACUUAGUGUAUACUAUGCUUAUUCUUGCAGGAAGAAGUAACUGGAACAGAAUCAUCUGGCAAAAUCCACUGAGAAAAAUGGAAAAAAGUACCACCUGGUUUCCUUACUGGCAAUAUUUUUAGUGGCAGUAAUAUCCAAAUAAUGUGGAUCUCAAUCAAGGCUGUCAAAUAAACACAUUGCUAGGAGGAUCACCUCAACCUGUAGGAGCUUCCUUCCUGCCAAGAAGCUGGUUCAUUCACCACUGAGCAUCAUCAUCAUGGCAUUCUUACCCUGCUGGAGGUUCAAGCCAAGACAUAGAAAGAGGACAUUACCUGGGACAGGAAUUAAUGCCUAUCACUGGGGAUGCCUGCAGCACCAUUGUCACCAUUGGCUGCAGUUCACUGAGUGCUUCCUCCCUGCCAGGCACCUUGCACACCUUAUUUUCAGUCUCCGCAGCUGCCUUGUUGAGGUUGGCUCUCUAUUCUUCUGUUUCACAGUUGAGGAAACUGAGGUUAAGAGAUGUGAAUGAAUUUUCUCAAAGUAACAUUAGGUAUUAGUAAGAUUUCAUUUAUCCAUUCACUGUUAAAUAUUAUUAAGUAACUACAGUGCUUUAAGAACUCCAUGUAAAUGGUGGAUUUGAGGCAAAACUUUAAAAGCUGAAUUAAAUAAGGAGCUAACAUUGCAAAAAGCUGAGAAACUUAUGUUCUCGGUGGAGCAAAUAGGUUGUGUCUUUUCGGUUACAAGUAAUAAAAUCCAGAGGCUACCUCAAGGGAAAAAUAAAGCACUAGAUGGUCUACCAAAGACAGAGAGGCAGGUGGAUUUUGGGAAGGGGUAGGAAUGAACAGCUAGAAAAAUGUGACUUACGUUUUCUCUCUUAUCUGCCCCUUAGCUUCGUAGCUUUCUUGUUCUCAUGUAUAGAGUGAUCAAAGAUGACC